rnacentral:lncRNA from 1 species
CUUCUGGUUUUCUUUGAGGGACUCUUGGAAGAAAGAGUUAAAAGGAGGUCUAUUCAUGGAGGCCAGGGUUUGCUUGGUGGCCUUAAUACCAUGCUGAGAUCUGUUUUUCUGGGAGAAUUAACCUAAUAUGCUGUCAGUCACCUAUGCCUGUUGCUUCUUCACCAGAGAUUGGGAUUACACCAUCUGGGUGUAUGUCUGAUCUUGCUAGGUCAGCCUACUUGGUCAUAGCAGAAAUCCCAGGAGCUUUGGGCAGUGGUGGAAAUACUGAUGUUUUGUAGUAGAGGCGAAUGUAAUGGAGAAGACCAGCUCUCAACCUCUCUGAUGCCCCUUACCUGUCUUUGUGAAUGAAUGUGCCUCGCAGACCCCUCCAUGACCCUCUCUGCUUUCUCCCAAACACCUUAGGAACUGUGAGACUGCGGUUGUGUCAGAGACCGGCAGGAACACUGAGAGGUGUGUGUGGGCAGAAAACCGGAAGCCAGGGCACUAGAAAGAGCAGUGAGAAGAAGGUAGGAGUGGCUAAGAUCAUCUGCCUACUAUGGUCAAGAACGUCUGCUACAGGACAAACAAAUCUCUCAUCUUUUCAGCGGAGCUCCCCUGUAGUUCAAAUAUAACACGCAUAAAAACCUUGUCACUUCAUCAUUUUCCAAAAUAAACAAAUGAACAAAAAGCAAACAACACACCAAGUUUCUUUCAUUUCUAGAUUAAUAAGCUUUUAUUGUGAAAUUGGCAGCUUCAGGGAUGGAUAAGGAAAUCAUUGUUUCACUUAGGUAGAAAUUAAGAAAAAUAAACUGACCCAUCAGCCAAGUAAGGAACAAGCAGCUUUAUUUAUUGGGCAUUGAAAUACCUGAGGAGAUAACAACUGUCAAAAAGAACUAACACUUGCCAUGUAAAAAUGUAUUCAAAGUAUGAGAUCAGCUUGAUGUGUAGUCAGCUCUCAAAAACAUUAGUUCUCUCUUUUCUGCAAAGGACUUCUAAGUGAAACUGAUAAGACCUACGGAAAAUAAAAUUUAGUACAACAAAGGGUUACAAAGGAUCCU